CAGUGGGAAAAGAAGACCCUGUUGAGCUUGACGCUAGUCUGGCAUGGUGGAGAGACAUGAGAAGAGUAGAAUUAGUGGGAGGCCCUAGGGGUUGGGGAUGGUCCCCAAGGGGCUCUGGCAUCUGGUACUACUCUGGGGAUGGUGCCAAGUAUGAUGUUUGACUGGGGCAGUACACCUGUCAAACAGUAAUGCAGGUGUGUUAAGUUGAGCUUAAGGAGGACAGAAGAGCAAAAGCCCACUUGAUCUUAUACAAAUAUAGAGCGUGAAAGUAGGGCCGUAUGGGAAAAAUAUACUGAUAAUCCAUUUUCAGAUAUUUAGAGCAUGUCCAAUAGGAUUUCUUUUUACUUUUUUAAAAAUGUUAUUUUUAGAGACAAGGUAUUGCUCUUCUG
rnacentral:ncRNA from 1 species